UAGCCACAUGUUUGUCACCAGAACUAAGGACAAUCAACUGCUCAGCAGAUGGAGACGACAUAGAGUUCUCUUUUUCUUUAGAUGACAAUAUAUUAAUACAGACUAAAGCUGUCAGAGAAAAGAAUGAAAGUUCCAGCAUCAGCUUGAAUGGUCAGCUGGCAGGAAACCUAUGCUGUAAAGUAGAAAACAAAGUCAGCAGUAAACAGACCGUUAUAUACCUUACAAGCUGCCAAGGGCUGCAUUCAAUAACUCUUACUGUUCUUGCAAGCCUGUACUUCCCACUUCUUCUUUUGGUCUUGAUUCUCACAGUUAAAUUGUGUAAAAUAAAGCGCCCCACUGAUUUUCAAGAAGAUGAGACUGAUGAUAACAUUGUGUACUCUGACAUCAGAGUGAUUCGGGCCGCCAGAAAGUUGGCUGCUUAGGAUGCUGCCGAGCGAAGAGAAGAAUAAGACAAUAUGUGUAAGUG